rnacentral:rRNA from 1 species
UACAGAGGGUGCAAGCGUUGUUCGGAAUUAUUGGGCGUAAAGGGCAGGUAGGUGGUCUCAUUUGUCUGAGGUGAAAGCCUUGAGCGUAACUCAAGAAGUGCCUUAGAAACGGUGGGACUAGAGUCCUAGAGAGGGUCGUGGAAUUCCCGGUGUAGCGGUGAAAUGCGUAGAGAUCGGGAGGAACACCAGAGGCGAAGGCGGCGACCUGGAUAGGUACUGACACUCAACUGCGAAAGCGUGGGGAGCAAACAGG